GGUUAUUAGAUUAAAUUAAUAAUCUUGCCUGCCCUAUGCUUAUUAAAGUAAAUGGCUGCAGUAUUUUGACUGUACUAAGGUAGCAUAAUCAAUAGCUUUUUAAUUGAAGGCUGGUAUGAAGGGUUAAUACUAUAAAGAUGGUUUUGUUGAUUUAUUUUGAAUUUAAAUUAAAAGUAAAAAUGCUUUUAUAAAUCCUUGGGACGAGAAGACCCUAGAAGCUUUUAUACAGAUGUAUUUUAGUUGGGGUGACUAAUGAAGAUAAAAAUCUUUAAUUUAGAAAUAUAUUUAAUGUAAAGUUACUCUAGGGAUAACAGCGUUAUUUGAUUAAUGAGUUCUUAUUUAUAAUUAAGUUUGCGACCUCGAUGUUGAAUUAAAAUAAAAAUAUGGUGAAGGAGCUUUAUAUUUUAGUCUGUUCGACUAUUAAAUUUUUACA
rnacentral:rRNA from 1 species